UGCUGGGGAGGCAAACAUGUCGGAGCUAGAAAAAACGAGAAUCCCCGCUGGAACCACGCUCAGAAACCUGCCGGAUUUCCUGAAGUCAUGACUACCUGGCCACAGUUUUUUCCAGGUGUAAAAGGACAGACAAAUUUUAAAGUCUCUUCCAGAAAACAGGAGAAGUAAGGAGAGCUUUAAGGAGAAAAAAGGAAGUCAAACAACCUGG